UGAACUGUAACAAAGACAUUGCAGAAAAAAAUCAACACAGAGAAGAGGAAUACAGACUCAUUAUGGACAUGAACUUUACCCACAAAAUGUUCAGAAACCUUGAGGACAUGUAGUAGAUCCUUGAUAAAGGAUUUAUGGGAAGAUAUUCACAAGGAUAAGAAGGCUUCCUUGUAAAUAACACUUAAAGAAUCUAUUGUGGAAGAGAGAAAUUGGGAAAGUCUGCAACAA
rnacentral:lncRNA from 1 species